rnacentral:rRNA from 1 species
CCUACGGGAGGCUGCAGUGGGGAAUAUUGGACAAUGGGGGCAACCCUGAUCCAGCCAUGCCGCGUGUGUGAAGAAGGCCCUCGGGUUGUAAAGCACUUUCAGUGAGGAAGAACGCCUGGUGGUUAAUACCCAUCAGGAAAGACAUCACUCACAGAAGAAGCACCGGCUAACUCCGUGCCAGCAGCCGCGGUAAUACGGAGGGUGCGAGCGUUAAUCGGAAUUACUGGGCGUAAAGCGCGCGUAGGUGGCUUGAUAAGCCGGUUGUGAAAGCCCCGGGCUCAACCUGGGAACGGCAUCCGGAACUGUCAAGCUAGAGUGCAGGAGAGGAAGGUAGAAUUCCCGGUGUAGCGGUGAAAUGCGUAGAGAUCGUGAGGAAUACCAGUGGCGAAGGCGGCCUUCUGGACUGACACUGACACUGAGGUGCGAAAGCGUGGGUAGCAAACAGGAUUAGAUACCCUUGUAGUC